rnacentral:rRNA from 1 species
AUACGGAGGGUGCGAGCGUUGUUCGGAAUUACUGGGCGUAAAGGGCGCGUAGGCGGUUGUGAUAGUCAGGUGUGAAAUCCUUCGGCUUAACCGGAGAACUGCAUCUGAAACUUCACAACUAGAGUACAGGAGAGGGAAACGGAAUUCCCGGUGUAGAGGUGAAAUUCGUAGAUAUCGGGAGGAACACCAGUGGCGAAGGCGGUUUCCUGGCCUGAUACUGACGCUGAGGCGCGAAAGCGUGGGGAGCAAACAGGAUUAGAUACCCUGGUAGUCCACGCGGUAAACGGUGAACACUAGGUGUGGGAGGUGUAAUACCUUCUGUGCCGAAGCUAACGCGUUAAGUGUUCCGCCUGGGAAGUACGGCCGCAAGGUUGAA